rnacentral:tRNA from 1 species
CCGCCAGGGACGGCUCGCCGAAGAUCGCCCGGGAGCUCUCGCUUCCCGCCACCGGCAGGCAGGUGGUGGACCGGAUCGUCACCGAUCUGGCGGUC